rnacentral:rRNA from 1 species
AGGACGAACGCUGGCGGCGUGCCUAACACAUGCAAGUCGAACGGGACCAGGGGCAACUCUGGUUCAGUGGCGGACGGGUGCGUAACACGUGAGGAACAUGACCUUCGGCGGGGGAUAGCCGGCCCAACGGCCGGGUAAUACCGCGUACGACCUUUCGGGGACAUCCCUGGAUGGUGAAAGCAGCAAUGCGCCGAUGGAGUGCCUCGCGGCCUAUCAGCUAGUUGGUGAGGUAACGGCUCACCAAGGCGACGACGGGUAGC